UACGGGGGGAGCAAGCGUUGUUCGGAUUUACUGGGCGUAAAGGGCGCGUAGGCGGCCACCGCAAGUCAGUUGUGAAAUCUCCGGGCUUAACUCGGAAAGGUCAACUGAUACUGUGCGACUAGAGUGCGGAAGGGGCAACUGGAAUUCUUGGUGUAGCGGUGAAAUGCGUAGAUAUCAAGAGGAACACCUGCGGCGAAGGCGGGUUGCUGGGCCGACACUGACGCUGAGGCGCGAAAGCCAGGGGAGCGAACGGG
rnacentral:rRNA from 1 species